UACGAAGGGAGCUAGCGUUGUUCGGAAUCACUGGGCGUAAAGCGCACGUAGGCGGAUGUGUCAGUCAGGGGUGAAAUCCCGGAGCUCAACUUCGGAACUGCCUUUGAUACAGCACUCUGGAGUCCGGAAGGAGGUGGGUGGAAUUCCUAGUGUAAGAGGUGAAAUUCGUAGAUAUUGGAAGAACACCAGUGGCGAAGGCGGCUCACUGGUCCGG
rnacentral:rRNA from 1 species